GAUGAACGCUAGCGGCAGGCCUAACACAUGCAAGUCGAGGGAGGAGCUUUCGGGCUUCGACCGGCGUACGGGUGCGUAACGCGUAUACAAUCUGCCUUUCACAUAGGGAUAGCCCGAAGAAGUUUGGAUUAAUACCUAAUGGUAUAUAGGGGUGGCAUCACCUUUAUAUUAAAGCUGAGGCGGUGAAAGAUGAGUAUGCGUUCUAUUAGCUAGUUGGAGAGGUAACGGCUCCCCAAGGCGACGAUAGAUAGGGGUUCUGAGAGGGAUAUCCCCCACACUGGUACUGAGAUACGGACCAGACUCCUACGGGAGGCAGCAGUGAGGAAUAUUGGACAAUGGUCGGAAGACUGAUCCAGCCAUGCCGCGUGCAGGAAGACGGCCUUAUGGGUUGUAAACUGCUUUUGCAGGGGAAGAAUAAGGACUACGCGUAGUUUGAUGACGGUACUCUGCGAAUAAGCAUCGGCUAACUCCGUGCCAGCAGCCGCGGUAAUACGGAGGAUGCGAGCGUUAUCCGGAAUCAUUGGGUUUAAAGGGUCCGUAGGCGGGCUAAUAAGUCAGAGGUGAGAGCGCUCAGCUCAACUGAGCAACUGCCUUUGAAACUGUUAGUCUUGAAUGGUUGUGAAGUAGUUGGAAUGUGUAGUGUAGCGGUGAAAUGCUUAGAUAUUACACAGAACACCGAUAGCGAAGGCAUAUUACUAACAAUUAAUUGACGCUGAUGGACGAAAGCGUGGGGAGCGAACAGG
rnacentral:rRNA from 1 species